rnacentral:rRNA from 1 species
AUUGAACGCUGGCGGCAUGCCUUACACAUGCAAGUCGAACGGCAGCACGGGAGCUUGCUCCUGGUGGCGAGUGGCGAACGGGUGAGUAAUACAUCGGAACGUACCCUGAAGUGGGGGAUAACGUAGCGAAAGUUACGCUAAUACCGCAUAUUCUGUGAGCAGGAAAGAGGGGGAUCGCAAGACCUCUUGCUUUAGGAGCGGCCGAUGUCGGAUUAGCUAGUUGGUGAGGUAAAGGCUCACCAAGGCGACGAUCCGUAGCGGGUCUGAGAGGAUGAUCCGCCACACUGGGACUGAGACACGGCCCAGACUCCUACGGGAGGCAGCAGUGGGGAAUUUUGGACAAUGGGCGGCAAGACCUCGA